UGAGGGAUGAAGGCUCUCGGGUUGUAAACCUCUUUCACAGGGACGAAAAUGACGGUACCUGCAGAAGAAGCUCCGGCCAACUACGUGCCAGCAGCCGCGGUAACACGUAGGGAGCAAGCGUUGUCCGGAAUUAUUGGGCGUAAAGAGCUCGUAGGCGGUUCAGUAAGUCAGGUGUGAAAACUCGAGGCUCAACCUCGAGAGGCCACCUGAUACUGCUGUGACUGGAGUCCGGUAAGGAGUGUGGAAUUCCUGGUGUACGGUGAAAUGCGCAAAUUCAGGAGGAACACCGACGCGAAGGCAGCACUCUGGGCCGGUACUGACCUGAGGACGAAAGCGUGGGGAGCGAACAGGAUUAAAUACCCUGGUAGUCCACCCGUAAACGUUGGGCACUAGGUGUGGGGUCUAGCUAACAGAUUCCGCGCCGUAGUUAACGCAUUUCCCCCCCUCCUCCUCUUUUUUUUCCCCUUACUCCCCC
rnacentral:rRNA from 1 species